rnacentral:rRNA from 1 species
CCAGACUCCUACGGGAGGCAGCAGUGGGGAAUAUUGCACAAUGGGCGCAAGCCUGAUGCAGCCAUGCCGCGUGUAUGAAGAAGGCCUUCGGGUUGUAAAGUACUUUCAGCGGGGAGGAAGGCGAUAAGGUUAAUAACCUUGUUGAUUGACGUUACCCGCAGAAGAAGCACCGGCUAACUCCGUGCCAGCAGCCGCGGUAAUACGGAGGGUGCAAGCGUUAAUCGGAAUUACUGGGCGUAAAGCGCACGCAGGAGGUUGGUCAAGUCGGAUGUGAAAUCCCCGGGCUCAACCUGGGAACUGCAUUCGAAACUGGCAGGCUGGAGUCUUGUAGAGGGGGGUAGAAUUCCAGGUGUAGCGGUGAAAUGCGUAGAGAUCUGGAGGAAUACCGGUGGCGAAGGCGGCCCCCUGGACAAAGACUGACGCUCAGGCGCGAAAGCGUGGGGAGCAAACAGGAUUAGAUACCCGUGUAAAC